AAAUAACAUGUAACACUGAUGAUGUAACAUGUGACACUGAUGAUGUAACAUGUUAAACUAAUACUUUACGUGCAACAAUAAUGUUGUAACAUGUAACACUGAUGUUGUAACAUGUAACACUGAUGUUGUUACAUGUAACAUUGAAGGGGUAAUUGUUACAUUGAUAAUUAACAUGUUACACUGAUGUAGUAAUAUGUGACACUGAUGAUGUAACAUGUUAAACUAAUACUUUAUGUGCAACGAUAAUGAUGUAACAUGUAAGACUGACAAAAUAACAUGUAACACUAAUGAUGUAACAUGUGACACUGAUGUUGUAACAUGUAACACUGAUGUUGUUACAUGUAACAUUGAAGGGGUAAUCGUUACAUUGAUAAUUAACAUGUUACACUGACGUAGUAAUAUGUAACACUGAUGUUGUAACAUGUAACACUGAUGAUGUAACAUGUAACACUGAUUAUGUAACAUCUUACACUGAUGAUGUAACAUGUAACAUUGAAGGGGUAACGUUACAUUGAUAAUUAACAUGUUACACUGAUGAUGCCAGAUGUAACAUGUCACACUGACAGAUUAACAUGUUGAUUAGCAUCUUACACUGAUCGUUAAACAUGUAACAAUGAAGGGGUAACGUUACAUUGAUAAUUAACAUGUAACACUGACGAUGUAACAUGCAACACUAAUGAUGUAACAUGUUACACUAAUGAUGUAACAUGUAACACUCAUGUUGCAACAUGUAACACUCAUGUUGUAACAUGUAACACUGAUGUUGUUACAUGUAACAAGUCACACUGACAGAGUAACAUGUUGAUUAGCAUCUAACACUGAUGGUUAAACAUGUAACGAUGAAGGGGUAACGUUACAUUGAUAAUUAACACGUAACACUGAUGAUGCAAGAUGUUACACUGAGGAUGUAACUCAAAACAGUUUUAGACUCAUACAUUUCAGACUGCUCAUUUCCUGCUUCCGCUGAUUCUGUUUCCGUUUUUAUUUUGGAGUUAAUUCUCCUAAAUCUCUGCAGGACUGUCAGUGGGAACCCUGCUCAUCUGCCUGAACUACAUCGUAGCCAUCACAGACACACAUGCUAGUGCUCCACAACAAUAGAUGUCACACACACACACAGACACACACUGAUGUCACAGAUGUGGUGUUUCUAGUUUCUGCUUCUGUGAUUUCCUUUAGUUCGAGUAUUUCCGGCUUCUUCUCUUCUUUUCUUCUCGCUGUAAGAAGCCAAAGUAGGAACUCUGUUUGCUUGCAGGCAGUUUUCUGCCACAAACCGUUUUAUAUUUUAAAUGUGUUAUUAAAGAAGUGAUUGUACUGUUCUGUAUCGUUCUGUAGGACAAGUGUUAUGUAUGCAUAUUUUAAAUAAAGCAUUCAGGGGUUCAAAACGUC